CUUCUUGGGAGAAUGGCUCCAGGACGCAAUUGGGUAGAAUGUGCCCCAGACCGGCGGAAAAAUUCUUCACUGUUUUUCUCUGUUCUUUUAUCUUUGGGACAAUUCACCUGGCACUUAUGACUGCCAGCAUAAUGGGGAAGGUGUACAAGGGAUGCAAUGCAGAGGGACGCCCCCAUCGCCCCCUGCUAUAGGAACCCCACAGGCAGAACAAGUAGGACGCUGCCGAGGUUCGGGAGAUUUUCAAGGUAAUGGACCCUUUUCUUUCCUCUCUCUUAAAGUGACAGUGACAAUUUUGGGCUCCUUUUGAGCUUUGCAGUUGAGAAACAAAGAAAUCUUUAAAGUGUCAAAGGCUCCACCUCUGGGAGCCCCCACUCUUGUUUCCGGGCCUGAUCACCCUGGCGACCAAGUGGGGUGCCCUCUCUUGGCGAUUGACUUGUUAAGCAUUUUAGGUGCCUACUGAGUUGAUUAUGACAAUAGGAGACCUGUGAUUUAUUCUGUGAACUGUCCUGAUGGUGUUGUGUGCCCUGGCACAGGAACUGCUGUGUGACCUUCUCUCUAGAAACUCUUAAUCAAUAUCAAAGGCAAGGAUUUAAAUCUGCAUUUUAUUGUGCUUGUCUGGUAACCUCCUAUAACUGACUUCCCUCCCCCUGCCAACGUUGGCAUUUCUUUAAGGAUUAAGCAUCUGUUCUUAGGCUAGGAACUGAUUGCUGCGCUCACCUGUGACGCCCAGCUCCAGACAAUCGACUUUCCUCCUGCUAUGCCCAUCGAGACAGCAGACCAUUACCUGCUGUAUCCAUCAAGCCCUGUGCUGACAGGGCAAUCUUGUGACUAUUGUGGGAGGGACAUUUCAAUCACAUGUGAAACAUCCUGUUUGGGGGUAUAUAACCACUGUGUGCACCCCACUUCUUCGGUGCCCUUUCUUCCUUUGAGAAGAAAGGCCCUGGGCCAUGGUUCCUCAUAAAGCUUUGUUUAAUUUUCUUUUGCUAUUCUGUCUCAUGUGAAUUUAAUUCAUUCUCUGGCCAGAUGAACCCCC
rnacentral:lncRNA from 1 species